GACGAACGCUGGCGGCGUGCUUAACACAUGCAAGUCGAACGGAAAGGCCCUGCUUUUGUGGGGUGCUCGAGUGGCGAACGGGUGGGUAACACGUGAGUAACCUGCCCUUGACUUUGGGAUAACUUCAGGAAACUGGGGCUAAUACCGGAUAGGAGCUCCUGCUGCAUGGUGGGGGUUGGAAAGUUUCGGCGGUUGGGGAUGGACUCGCGGCUUAUCAGCUUGUUGGUGGGGUAGUGGCUUACCAAGGCUUUGACGGGUAGCCGGCCUGAGAGGGUGACCGGCCACAUUGGGACUGAGAUACGGCCCAGACUCCUACGGGAGGCAGCAGUGGGGAAUAUUGCACAAUGGGCGGAAGCCUGAUGCAGCAACGCCGCGUGCAGGAUGACGGCCUUCGGGUUGUAAACCGCUUUCGCCUGUGACGAAGCGUGAGUGACGGUAAUGGGUAAAGAAGCACCGGCUAACUACGUGCCAGCAGCCGCGGUGAUACGUAGGGUGCGAGCGUUGUCCGGAUUUAUUGGGCGUAAAGGGCUCGUAGGUGGUUGAUCGCGUCGGAAGUGUAAUCUUGGGGCUUAACCCUGAGCGUGCUUUCGAUACGGGUUGACUUGAGGAAGGUAGGGGAGAAUGGAAUUCCUGGUGGAGCGGUGGAAUGCGCAGAUAUCAGGAGGAACACCAGUGGCGAAGGCGGUUCUCUGGGCCUUUCCUGACGCUGAGGAGCGAAAGCGUGGGGAGCGAACAGGCUUAGAUACCCUGGUAGUCCACGCUGUAAACGGUGGGUACUAGGUGUGGGGUCCAUUCCACGGGUUCCGUGCCGUAGCUAACGCUUUAAGUACCCCGCCUGGGGAGUACGGCCGCAAGGCUAAAACUCAAAGGAAUUGACGGGGCCCCGCACAAGCGGCGGAGCAUGCGGAUUAAUUCGAUGCAACGCGUAGAACCUUACCUGGGUUUGACAUGGAUCGGGAGUGCUCAGAGAUGGGUGUGCCUCUUUUGGGGUCGGUUCACAGGUGGUGCAUGGCUGUCGUCAGCUCGUGUCGUGAGAUGUUGGGUUAAGUCCCGCAACGAGCGCAACCCUUGUUCACUGUUGCCAGCACGUUAUGGUGGGGACUCAGUGGAGACCGCCGGGGUCAACUCGGAGGAAGGUGGGGAUGACGUCAAGUCAUCAUGCCCCUUAUGUCCAGGGCUUCACGCAUGCUACAAUGGCUGGUACAGAGAGUGGCGAGCCUGUGAGGGUGAGCGAAUCUCGGAAAGCCGGUCUCAGUUCGGAUUGGGGUCUGCAACUCGACCUCAUGAAGUCGGAGUCGCUAGUAAUCGCAGAUCAGCAACGCUGCGGUGAAUACGUUCCCGGG
rnacentral:rRNA from 1 species